rnacentral:rRNA from 1 species
AUGAACGCUGGCGGCAGGCCUACACAUGCAAGUCGAGCGUGUAACAGAGAGUAGCUUGCUACUCUGCUGACGAGCGGCGGACGGGUGAGUAAUGCUUGGGAAUAUGCCUUAUGGUGGGGGACAACAGUUGGAAACGACUGCUAAUACCGCAUGAUGUCUACGGACCAAAGUGGGGGACCUUCGGGCCUCACGCCAUAAGAUUAGCCCAAGUGGGAUUAGCUAGUUGGUGAGGUAAUGGCUCACCAAGGCGACGAUCCCUAGCUGGUUUGAGAGGAUGAUCAGCCACACUGGGACUGAGACACGGCCCAGACUCCUACGGGAGGCAGCAGUGGGGAAUAUUGCACAAUGGGCGCAAGCCUGAUGCAGCCAUGCCGCGUGUGUGAAGAAGGCCUUCGGGUUGUAAAGCACUUUCAGUAAGGAGGAAAGGUUAAGUGUUAAUAGCACUUAGCUGUGACGUUACUUACAGAAGAAGCACCGGCUAACUCCGUGCCAGCAGCCGCGGUAAUACGGAGGGUGCGAGCGUUAAUCGGAAUUACUGGGCGUAAAGCGUACGCAGGCGGUUUGUUAAGCGAGAUGUGAAAGCCCCGGGCUCAACCUGGGAACUGCAUUUCGAACUGGCAAACUAGAGUGUGAUAGAGGGUGGUAGAAUUUCAAGUGUAGCGGUGAAAUGCGUAGAGAUCUGAAGGAAUACCGAUGGCGAAGGCAGCCACCUGGGUCAACACUGACGCUCAUGUACGAAAGCGU